rnacentral:rRNA from 1 species
CGGGUGAGUAACGCGUGAGAAUCUGCCCUCAGGAGGGGGAUAACGGCCGGAAACGGCCGCUAAUACCCCAUAUGCCGAGAGGUGAAAUGAAUUUCGCCUGAGGAUGAGCCCGCGUCUGAUUAGCUAGUUGGUGGGGUAAUGGCCCACCAAGGCGACGAUCAGUAGCUGGUCUGAGAGGAUGAUCAGCCACACUGGGACUGAGACACGGCCCAGACUCCUACGGGAGGCAGCAGUGGGGAAUUUUCCGCAAUGGGCGAAAGCCUGACGGAGCAACGCCGCGUGAGGGAUGAAGGCCUCUGGGCUGUAAACCUCUUUUCUCAAGGAAGAAGACAUGACGGUACUUGAGGAAUAAGCCACGGCUAAUUCCGUGCCAGCAGCCGCGGUAAUACGGGAGUGGCAAGCGUUAUCCGGGAAUUAUUGGGCGUAAAGCGUCCGCAGGCGGCCUUGUAAGUCUGUCGUUAAAGCGUGGAGCUUAACUCCAUUUCAGCGAUGGAAACUACAAGGCUUGAGUGUGGUAGGGGCAGAGGGAAUUCCCGGUGUAGCGGUGAAAUGCGUAGAUAUCGGGAAGAACACCAGUGGCGAAGGCGCUCUGCUGGGCCAUAACUGACGCUCAUGGACGAAAGCCAGGGGAGCGAAAGGGAUUAGAUACCCCUGUAGUCCUGGCCGUAAACGAUGAACACUAGGUGUCGGGGGAAUCGACCCCCUCGGUGUCGUAGCUAACGCGUUAAGUGUUCCGCCUGGGGAGUACGCACGCAAGUGUGAAACUCAAAGGAAUUGACGGGGGCCCGCACAAGCGGUGGAGUAUGUGGUUUAAUUCGAUGCAACGCGAAGAACCUUACCAGGGUUUGACAUCCUGCGAAUCCCUUGGAAACGAGGGAGUGCCUUCGGGAGCGCAGAGACAGGUGGUGCAUGGCUGUCGUCAGCUCGUGUCGUGAGAUGUUGGGUUAAGUCCCGCAACGAGCGCAACCCACGUCUUUAGUUGCCAGCAUUCAGUUGGGCACUCUAGAGAGACCGCCGGUGAUAAACCGGAGGAAGGUGUGGAUGACGUCAAGUCAUCGUGCCCCUUACAUCCUGGGCUACACACGUACUACAAUGCUACGGACAAAGGGUUGCAAGCUCGCGAGAGUUAGCUAAUCCCAUAAACCGUGGCUCAGUUCAGAUCGUAGGCUGCAACUCGCCUGCAUGAAG